rnacentral:rRNA from 1 species
CCCUUAGAUGUUCUGGGCUGCACGCGUGCUACAAUGGCGUUUCCAGCAAGUCUGCGAACCCGAGAGGGCCAGCGGAUCUUCGAAUUGGCGUCGUGAUCGGGACAGUCGAUUGCAAUUAUUUGACUCAAACGAGGAAUUCCUUGUAAUCGCGAUUCAUCAUAUCGCGCUGAAUACGUCCCUGCCCUUUGUACACACCGCCCGUCGCUCCUACCGAUUGAGCGGUCCGGUAAAUGUUUUGGAUUGGUGCCGGGGCGGCUAGCUGCCGGUCGCUACGAAAUUUUGUGAACCUUAUCGCUUAGAGGAAGGAAAAGUCGUAACA